GCAAAAUUUUUUCAUUGAUGAUCCUUCCGUAGGUGAACCUGCGGAAGGAUCAUCAAAGGAGGAGGGUGGGAGGGGGAGGUUUCGCGGGGAUCACCCGCGGGAUCUCUCCUCCUCACCCAACCAAUCUUGUGUGAACUGUAGCGCGCAAGCAUACGCGUGGGUGUGUUGGUGGGAAAGGGGGGAGGAGUGUCUCCUACUACCCACCGCCAUCACGCUUGCACAACUAUCUCUCAUUCACCUUUGUCUAACCUUUUUUUCACAAUUAACAACACACAACUUUUAACAAUGGAUCUCUUGGCUCUCGCAUCGAUGAAGAACGCAGC
rnacentral:misc_RNA from 1 species